rnacentral:rRNA from 1 species
UUCGUAGGUGGCCAACUAAGUCAGACGUGAAAUCCCUCAGCUUAACUGGGGAACUGCGUCUGAGACUGGAUGGCUUGAGUGCAGGAGAGGAACGCGGAAUUCCAGGUGUAGCGGUGAAAUGCGUAGAUAUCUGGAGGAACACCGGUGGCGAAGGCGGCGUUCUGGACUGCUACUGACACUGAGGAACGAAAGCCAGGGAGCAAACG